rnacentral:rRNA from 1 species
UACGAAGGGGGCUAGCGUUGCUCGGAAUCACUGGGCGUAAAGCGCACGUAGGCGGCCUGAUAAGUCGGAUGUGAAAUUCCCACAAGCUUAACUGUGGACGUGCAUUCGAAACUGCCAGGCUCGAGUAUGGAAGAGGGUCGCAGAAUUCCCGGUGUAGAGGUGGAAAUUCGUAGAUAUCGGGGAGGAAUACCAGUGGCGGAAGGUGG